rnacentral:rRNA from 1 species
GCAACCUGCCCAAAAGAGGGGGAUAACACUUGGAAACAGGUGCUAAUACCGCAUAACCAUAGUUACCGCAUGGUAACUAUGUAAAAGGUGGCUAUGCUACCGCUUUUGGAUGGGCCCGCGGCGCAUUAGCUAGUUGGUGGGGUAAAGGCUUACCAAGGCAAUGAUGCGUAGCCGAACUGAGAGGUUGAUCGGCCACAUUGCGACUGAGACACGGCCCAAACUCCUACGGGAGGCAGCAGUAGGGAAUCUUCCACAAUGGGCGAAAGCCUGAUGGAGCAACGCCGCGUGGGUGAAGAAGGUCUUCGGAUCGUAAAACCCUGUUGUUAGAGAAGAAAGUGCGUGAGAGUAACUGUUCACGUUUCGACGGUAUCUAACCAGAAAGCCACGGCUAACUACGUGCCAGCAGCCGCGGUAAUACGUAGGUGGCAAGCGUUAUCCGGAUUUAUUGGGCGUAAAGGGAACGCAGGCGGUCUUUUAAGUCUGAUGUGAAAGCCUUCGGCUUAACCGGAGUAGUGCAUUGGAAACUGGGAGACUUGAGUGCAGAAGAGGAGAGUGGAACUCCAUGUGUAGCGGUGAAAUGCGUAGAUAUAUGGAAGAACACCAGUGGCGAAAGCGGCUCUCUGGUCUGUAACUGACGCUGAGGUUCGAAAGCGUGGGUAGCAAACAGGAUUAGAUACCCUGGUAGUCC